AUUUCAAUUUAUUAAUAAUUUCUUAAUUGAAAAGUUUCCUUAUAAUUUUACAUAUUUCUGUUGCUGCGAUUGGUAUUUAUUUUUUUUAGAUUGAUUCUGGCUCUGUCUUUAAACAAUUGGGGAAAUUCGUUGGCGAUUUCGCGCACUAACUGCUGAUCGGAUGCACUGCAUUCGGUCUCCUCGCAAAAGAUGCGCAUAAAGAUCUUCAUGAGUUCGAUGUUCGCUUGCGAUGCUUGGUCCUGAUAGUUUGUGUUGCGCAAAAUGCGACGACACAGCUCCAAAUAGCACGGUCGUAACUAACACCCAGAAUAUUAGUAAGGUAAUUAUAUAAUACAUAUAUUAUUACUUAACACAUUGCCCGCAUCCAGAUCGGAAAGUUGACGCACCACAAUAUCGAUGAGGUCAUUGAUAUGGUUUGUAUAAAACAUGCCAGCCGCGUCCGGAUGACUGAAGAUGUCAAUAAACAUGCGCAGCACCGUGUUCAUGUGCUCAUUGUGAUGCUUAAGCAGUCGCGUUGGAUCAUCUAAGUAUUAUAGUAUAUAGUAUUAAUCACAAAAUAAAGUACACAUUGUUUGGCUUUACCUUCUCGAUUGAGGACCAACAA